AGAGAGAGACAUGCGCGCAUAUCAAUAAGCGGAGGAAAAGAAACUAACUAAGGAUUCCCUCAGUAACGGCGAGUGAAGCGGGAAGAGCUCAAAUUUGAAAUCUUCAAGGUUCUACCUUGACGAAUUGUAGUUUGUAGAGGUGUUUUCUGUUAGUGGAGUGGCAAAAGUUCUUUGGAAUAGGACAUCAUAGAGGGUGAGAAUCCCGUAUUUGGUCGAUUCCUCCUAGCGUUGUGAUACACUUUCAACGAGUCGGAUUGUUUGGGAAUGCAGUCCAAAAUGGGUGGUAAAUUUCAUCUAAAGCUAAAUAUUGGCGAGAGACCGAUAGCGAACAAGUACCGUGAGGGAAAGAUGAAAAGAACUUUGAAAAGAGAGUUAAACAGUACGUGAAAUUGUCAAAAGGGAAGCGUUUGACACCAGUGUUGUUUUUCCGAAAAUCAAUUACGAAUGUUUUGUUUUUGAGGAGUUAUGACUUCAUCGGCUUGCUCCUUUCUUUACGAAACUUUCUUAAUGCACUUUUCGGUUAACAAGUCAACAUCAAUUUCUUUUGUUGUAAAAGGGUAUGAGGAAGGUGGCUUUCUUUUCGGAGAAAGUGUUUAUAGCCUUGUGCCUCUGCAAUCGGAGAGAUUGAGGUCUGCAGCGUAGAUCCUUCGGGGUUAGAUAAGUUUGUGCUAAGUUAUAGCUUUUCAUAGACAACCUGUUGACUAUGUUUAGUCUUGUAGCUUACUCGCUGACGCUAUUUUACCUACGCUUAGGAUGUUGAUAGUCACAGCGUGUAC
rnacentral:rRNA from 1 species